GACGAACGCUGGCGGCGUGCUUAACACAUGCAAGUCGAACGGAAAGGCCCUGCUUUUGUGGGGUGCUCGAGUGGCGAACGGGUGAGUAACACGUGAGUAACCUGCUCUUGACUUUGGGAUAACUUCAGGAAACUGGGGCUAAUACCGGAUAGGAGCUCCUGCUGCAUGGUGGGGGUUGGAAAGUUUCGGCGGUUGGGGAUGGACUCGCGGCUUAUCAGCUUGUUGGUGGGGUAGUGGCUUACCAAGGCUUUGACGGGUAGCCGGCCUGAGAGGGUGACCGGCCACAUUGGGACUGCGGGACGGCCCAGACUCCUACGGUGGGCAGCAGUGGGGAAUAUUGCACAAUGGGCGGAAGCCUGAUGCAGCAACGCCGCGUGCGGGAUGACGGCCUUCGGGUUGUAAACCGCUUUCGCCUGUGACGAAGCGUGAGUGACGGUAAUGGGUAAAGAAGCACCGGCUAACUACGUG
rnacentral:rRNA from 1 species